GACGAACGCUGGCGGCGCGCUUAACACAUGCAAGUCGAACGGAAAGGCCUGCUUUCCCUUGUGGAUUGCGGGUACUCGAGUGGCGAACGGGUGAGUAACACGUGAGUGAUCUGCCCCCAACUUGGGUAUAAGCCUGGGAAACUGGGUCUAAUUCCCGAUAGGACUGCAGGGUGGUGCCUGUGGUGGAAAACGAUUUUCUAGUGGUUGGGGAUGAGCUCGCGGCCUAUCAGCUUGUUGGUGGGGUAAUGGCCUACCAAGGCGGCGACGGGUAGCCGGCCUGAGAGGGUGGACGGCCACAUUGGGACUGAGAUACGGCCCAGACUCCUACGGGAGGCAGCAGUGGGGAAUAUUGCACAAUGGGCGGAAGCCUGAUGCAGCGACGCCGCGUGGGGGAUGACGGCCUUCGGGUUGUAAACUCCUUUCGACCGCAAGGAAGCCACCUGGUUGGAAGGGUGGUGACGGUAGUGGUAGAAGAAGCACCGGCUAACUACGU
rnacentral:rRNA from 1 species